CGAUAAUGUUGUUGUUGCCGUGGCUACAAAUACGCUCGUUCCACUCCAUUUGCAUUUGGAGAGAGACGGAGGGAGAGUGAUGGAGGAAUCGCAGAAGUAUACGAAGAGAAAGGGAGAGGAGAAACAGGAACCCAGGAAGGCUUUCAGUGUGUGACAUCAGCUUGAUGCAGUUACCGUUAUGGAAACCAGUCCACUCAUCACUCUGAGCUGAAAAUCAUUAUGCGUCUGCAUGCAGAGAAAGAUGGAAAGAGCUGUAGGAAAAGACACGUGCUGGAAUUUGUCAAUACUUGACAUAAUUUCUAUGGACAGGGACAAAAGUCACCCAACCUGCUGACCCCAUGACAGACAGGUAU